GAUGGUAGGCCCAUCGAUAUCGGCUUCCAAGAGCAGGUAUCAAACCACCUUUAAGCGGCUGCUAUUAAGAGUAGUGGUCGUGAGCGUUAAGGAAAAGUCAUACUUGAUUUGGCAGGU
rfam:Legionella jamestowniensis strain JA-26-G1-E2 Ljam_ctg013, whole genome shotgun sequence.